UACGUAGGUGGCAAGCGUUGUCCGGAUUUAUUGGGUUUAAAGGGUGCGUAGGCGGUUCCAUAAGUCAGUGGUGAAAUCCGACAGCUCAACUGUCGAUGUGCCAUUGAUACUGCGGAACUUGAGUACAGACGAGGUAGGCGGAAUUGACGGUGUAGCGGUGAAAUGCUUAGAUAUCGUCAAGAACACCGAUAGCGAAGGCA
rnacentral:rRNA from 1 species